GUGCCAGCCGCGCGGUAAUACGGAGGGUGCAAGCGUUGUCCGGAUUUAUUGGGUUUAAAGGGUGCGUAGGCGGCCUAUUAAGUCAGUGGUGAAAGCCAACAGCUCAACUGUUGAACUGCCAUUGAUACUGAUAGGCUUGAGUACAGACGAGGUAGGCGGAAUUGAAGAUGUAGCGGUGAAAUGCAUAGAUAUCUUCAAGAACACCGAUUGCGUAGGCAGCUUACUAGGCUGUAACUGACGCUGAGGCACGAAAGCGUGGGGAGCGAGCAGGAUUAGAAACCCGGGUAGUCC
rnacentral:rRNA from 1 species